GCCAGGUGCAAUCACUUCUCCAGUGGAGCAUAGUUCAACAAUUUCUCAAUAAGAUCCACGUGAGAAAGGAGCAUCCUCCGACAACAGUAUCUCUUCAGGCCCAGGGCAUCAAGUGCAUCACUUAAGAGGGAGAGAGGAGUAGCAACACUCCCAGCAAGAUGGCUCCUGCAGCAAUAACGGCACCACCGAUGAGAAAGGGUUUCAGGUGUUCCAGAGAGUCUGUGCCGGAGGCCACAGCCUCUUCACCUGCCGCUGCUGCUUCAGCUUCUGCUGCCCCAUCCUGGGGAGGAGGAUGCUCAGGCUCAGGGGCCACAGGGGCAGGGUCAGCCUUGCGUGGGGCUGCCGGCUCCUUCUUCUCUGCUUUAGAUGCCGCCUUGGGUGCUGGAGCCCCGGACUUGGCCUUGGCUUCCAUGGACUC